GCGUCCAUAGCUCAGCUGGAUAGAGCAACGGUCUUCUAAACCGUAGGUCGUAGGUUCGAAUCCUACUGGACGUG
rnacentral:tRNA from 1 species